CCUUGGCCACCUUUUUUACGGGUGUCCUCAGCGAUAGAUAACUUAUCACGCCGAGUGGAACCAAGCAUAACACUGAGAUCCAGCUAAUGCACAAAGAGGAGCAGGUGUGAAGCUGCAAUAAGAUCCUCCAAAACCAAAGUAAAAAAAGACCAAUUGAAUUAACAAAAGGUUUACUUUGAAGAUUUCAUGAUACUCAAACAGGCAUGCUCCAAGGAAUACCAAGGAGCGCAAGGUGCGUUCAAAGAUUCGAUGAUUCACUGAAUUCUGCAAUUCACAUUACUUAUCGCAUUUCGCUGCGUUCUUCAUCGAUGCGAGAGCCAAGAGAUCCGUUGUUGAAACUUAGUAUUAGAUGCGUUACAUCAAUUACAUUCAGUUUAAAUUAAGUAGAGUGUGUGUAAAUUUAAGUAGACAGCAAUGGAUGAUGGAAUUAAAUCCACCAACUAUUGCUGUCUCACAAGUGCACAGGGGUGUGAUGGAUGAAGAGAAGGUGUGCACAUGCCCUCUGCAAAUUAGGAAGAAAAGGCCAGCCACCACUCACUCUCAUAAUAAAAAUCAAUUAUGAUCUCCGCAGUUCACCUACGGGAACCUUGUUACGACUUCCCAC
rnacentral:misc_RNA from 1 species